rnacentral:misc_RNA from 1 species
GAAAUGCGAUAAGUAGUGUGAAUUGCAGAAUUCAGUGAAUCAUCGAAUCUUUGAACGCACAUUGCGCCCCUUGGUAUUCCAUGGGGCAUGCCUGUUCGAGCGUCAUCUACACCCUCAAGCUCUGCUUGGUGUUGGGCGUCUUUGUCCCGCCUCCGCGCGCGGACUCGCCCCAAAUUCAUUGGCAGCGGUCCUUGUCUCCUCUCGCGCAGCACAUUGCGCUUCUCGAGGUGUUGCGGCCCGCGUCCAGAAAGCAAUCGUUACCGUCUUUGACCUCGGAUCAGGUAGGGAUACCCGCUGAACUUAAGC